GCAUUAGUGGUUUAGUGGUAAAAUUAACCGUUGCCAUUGAUCUCUUAACUCAGGUGAUCAGUAAAUUCGGUUAGCCCCCGGUUCGAUUCCGGGCUAAUGCA
rnacentral:tRNA from 1 species